AGAAGAAGUGAACACAUCCCCGAUCUCCUAACUACGAAAAGUUAGAAAUUGCUUCAACUACGUAUAACCAUAUUAGCAAAGGUUUUAGCCAUGAAUCUCGGUUUUGUAUCAAUGGAAUCUGUUUGGUCACUUCCAAAUUUUCUACUGUUUCUAGUACUCUGGACAUUGAUCAACAUCUAUGGCCAGCUACUUGACCACUGGAUCACUUCAUCUUACCCUAAGAUUAGGUGUUUUAUAAGGGAGCAACUUGAGGAAUCCAAACUAUUUGCAAUAAUAAGAAGGGAACAUGUCGUCAUCUGCUUGUUCAUCCUUUUUGAAAUUGCAGAUUUGGUGCGCUUGGACACUACUGUCUUCUGUCGUCAAACCAAAGCUUUUCUUGUGGAGGAGUUUGUUUGCAGAAUUUCGUGGGACACCGUUGCUUUAUUAGGAGUCAUAGCUAUCAUUCAACCAAAUAUGAUUAUAGUUAAAUCCUUCCAUGACAGUGAAACGGAGACAGAAGAUGGGAAUUUUAAUGUUUAGCUGCUUGUGGUUUGUUCUUUUGUUUAGUUUAUUUAUUGAUGUGCGUACUUUGUUUCCACUAUUAAUGACUUGAAUUGAAUAAAAUAAAAUUGAAACAUACUCUACGGUUUGUUAGCUAAGCCCUGGUUGGGAGGGUAUAAAAACAGAUUCGGAUUCGGAUCAUAUAUGUAUGUAUAUAAAGUUAAACAUUACAAAUGCAAUUUUUCUGCAAAUGGUACAAUCAAACCAACUUGGAUCGAUCAAAUCAUCCUUCUUCAUUCUUCUGCGUCCAAAAAUUUGGUAGUAACGGGCAGAGAGCUUCGGAUGAUAAAAACAACGAGCAUGCCCGAGAUGAUGCUAUAAGUAUUAAGGGGGUGGGAGGA